UCUCCCUCACCUCCUCCCUAAGGAAGUCUGUGGCCCAAAUGGGAAGAAACGGAAGUAAGAGAGAAGCACAGAACAGUUUUUAACACAGGCUUAAUUUCAAGUUAUGGAAUAAGAUUCAUUUGGUGCUCACGAACAUGGAGAAUCAACAGCAAUACCCAGAGGCUGAUGAAACUGCUCAAGAAGCCGGACAUGACAGGUCCACUACUCAUACUAAAUAGAAUGUGGUGGUGACUGACUAUGCCUUAAACUUGAUUCUACAACAAAACCUGAGGACCUGCCAGUCUUUAGACCAACACAUCAACUAUCUUAAUUUUGGGAGUGUGU